UACGAGGGGUGCUAGCGUUAUUCGGAAUCACUGGGCGUAAAGGGUGCGUAGACGGCAUAGUAAGUCCGCUGUUAAAUAUUCCGGCCUAACCGGAAGCCUGCGGUGGAAACUACUAAGCUAGAGGAUGGAAGAGAGAAGUGGAAUUCUCGGAGUAGCGGUAAAAUGCGUGGAUCUCGAGAGGAACACCAAUGGCGAAGGCAGCUUCUUGGUCCAUUCCUGACGUUGAGGCACGAAAGCGUGGGGAGCAAACAGGAUUAGAUACCCCCGUA
rnacentral:rRNA from 1 species